UACGGGGGGAGCAAACGUUGUUCGGAAUCACUGGGCGUAAAGGGCGCGUAGGCGGCUAGGUAAGUGGGGUGUUAAAUCUCCCGGCUUAACCGGGAGGGUGCGCCGAAAACUGGGAGACUAGAGUGCGGGAUGGGAGAGUAGAAUUCCUGGUGUAGCGGUGAAAUGCGUAGAUAUCAGGAGGAAUACCGGUGGUGCAGACGGCUCUCUGGACCGCAACUGACGCUGAGACACGAAAGCGUGGGUAGCAAACAGG
rnacentral:rRNA from 1 species